UUCCGGAUGGCGCAGGGAUACUCUCGAGCCCCCACAGGUGUGCUCUCAUUGGGUGUUUCAGAACGUCUUCAAACGUGUCAGCCAAUCAGAUCAGAGAGGUCCGUCCGUCCGUUCAGGAGGCGGUUGGAGGACUUUGAGGUAAACACGUGAAAGAAAGAAGAGAAGAAGAAAAGAGAGAAAGAAAGAAAGAGGGAUUUUCCUCUGACAGGAGAACUUUUCCCAGAAACACGGACGGACCCUCUAACGAACGAAAACAGGCCGGCCUGUCUGGAUCCCUCCGCGGCUGCAGGGUCCUGGUCCUGGUGGGGGGGUUCUGGAUCAGGUCCCUCCUCUGAGUGGAUCUGGGGCCUUUUCAACAGUUUCCACACCUCAGUCUGCAGACCCGGGUUCAGAUCCGGGACCGAGAGGCGCCCUCUGCUGUUUCAGUCAGCUCAGCGUGCACGUGCACGUACACACACACACACACACACACACACACACACACACACACACACAGUCAGCAUUAAUACAAACUUGUACUUUAUCUCUUUAUUUUUACUUAUUUUAUCUUUUCUUUAUUUCCUCUGGACUUUGACAGAAACAGUUUUUCCCUCCUGAGGAUCAUUAAAGUGAUUCUGAUUAUAAACUGAGUUUAUAUGUUUCCUCACACUACAGAGCAAAUAAGAACUGAACAUUUGAGAAUCUGAAAACCUUCAGAACUCUGAGUGUUUAAUCUGUGAGAUUAUCUGACCUACAGUCUCUCUGAUUUCCUGUAAAUUAAAGUUCUCUUCUCUUCUUUAAACCGACAAACAUUAAAAGUUCUUUGACUUAAACUAAACCGUCUUAAUCAGACCUGAAUUAUUCUCAUUUCUGUUUCUUUUAUUGAAGUUUUAUUCUCUUUUAUCUCACGUUAAUAAAGUGACUUUAGUCUUUAUUCUUGGAAAGUUUGUGUGUGAAUCUAAAGAUUUAAACAAAGUCAUAAAUCGUCCUGAAUUAUUAAAAUAUAAUGUUUAAAGUUGAUGUUAAUCUUCGUGUGAGGGAAACUUACAGACUACUUUAACAAAAACAUGAAACUAAGCAGUAAACUUGGACGUCUGCUGUUAUCGAGUCUUCAGGAAACUGACAAACAUUAAAACUCCUCAGACUUAAACUUAACUGUCAUGUUCAGGCCUGAAUUAUUAUCUUUUCUGUUUCUUUUAUUUCAGAUUUAUACUCUCUUAUCUCAUGUUGGUUUCUGUGAUUUUAUUCUUUAUCUGGGAAAGUUUGUCUGUGAUUUUAAUAAAGUCAUUAAUCUCUCUGAAUUGUUUAAAGUUGAUGUUAAUCUUCUCUGGUUUGUGUGAAGGAAACUUACAGACUACUACAACUAACCUUCACUACACUGUACAAAAGCCAAGGUGCUUCUUUCACACCAAACUUUAGUUUGACAGGGUUAAUUUCAGCCGACUUAAAUUUACUUUUGUUUACAUUUUGCUCUUCAUUGUAUCUUACCUUAGCUAUUGUGUUAUAUUUUAUUUAUUGUAUUUUAUUUUGGAAACAGACCCGAGCACUAAUUUGAUACCACAGACGGUCAAAGGUGUGGGGUAUGACGAAUAAAGUUCCUUAAAUCCUUGAACUUUAACAAAAAUAUAAAAUUAAACAGUAAACUUGGACGUCUGUGUUAUCGAGUCUUCAGGACAGAAACUUUCUGUCAGAAGACGUAAAUAAAAAAAUGAACUUUUAGAUUCAUCAGGAGGUUUAAACUAAAAUAUUUGAAAGUAAAGAUGAAAAUUUUAAUGAAUAAAAAAUCUUUUGAAAACCGUGAAAUAAACCAUAUAAUUAUUUAUACUCUGUACACGUGUAAAUUUGACUCAUGUUCAUAUCCUAUAUCUUUUUGUUUUUCUUAACUCUAAGUUGCUUUAUUCUUUAAUUUCUCUUUGUAUGACCGUAUGCUGCUGUUAAUUUGGGACUAUUAAAGGAACAUCUAAUCUUUUUAAAGGUUUAAUAUAGUUAUAAAUAAAUGAAAAUGUGAUUCAGAUUUGUGGAAUAAAUAAACAUCCAAACAUGUGAACUGAUGAGAGUUUUAAUAAAGAUUUCUGAAAUUAAACUUGGGAGUUUAUUUUAUUUUCUCUGUGCAGAGGGAAAAGUUCUCAGUUUGAAUUCUUUCUAAUGAAGUUUAAAUGUUUUUGUUUUUAUGUCAAACUGUCCUGGAAAGUCUGUAAAUGUUUAGUUGUAUUAAAUUUAUUCGUCAUCCUCAGUCAGAGACAGUCAGGGUAUUUUUGUGCUGAUUUUAGGAUCUUUAGAUUUUGAUUUUCAGUUUACGACGAAUAACAACUAAACUAAGAUAAGAUGAGAUGAGGGGUAAAUUCCUUAUUUACAGCGGCCCAUAAAAACAAAAAGAUUAAUUACAGGAUGAAGAAUGAACAUUUGUGUCUUUAGUUAAAGUUAAAAUCAUCGUUUUCAGCUUCUUUAAACUCUUUUCUUCACUGUUUUCAGUCUCAGGGGAUUAGGAUAUUUUAGUUUUUCUUUAUGACGGUAAAAAUCAGAAUAAAAACUGAGUAACUGUGAAGAACAAAUAAAUGAUCUCUUAAAGCUGUUUUCUGUUUUGCUGUAAAUGUUUCAGUUUCAUCUUUUUCUCCUAAUUUCAAAGUUAAACUGAUUAAAUCAAAUUAAAUAAAAUGUUCUCCUCCUCAGUCUGAAUAAACACAGAGUCUAAAUGUUGUUUUUCUUUGUUUUUUUCUGAUUUUAAUUUUAAACCUUUAAAGGAAACGGACAGCAGUGAGCGUUAAACGCUGUGAUGAUGACCGUCACAGAGUUUCUCAGUAGCUGUUUCAGUCUCUCCAUAAUGUCCCACAUGAACAUGAAAGAGAAGGUCCUGAACAGGGAACAUGUAUGUUGAGUAAUCCACAUGGGGCCCUCUGUCAGACCACCCUCAUUUGCAGCACGUGUUGGUGAUUUUCAGAGAGGCUGCCCCCUGGUGGUGAAGUGGCGUCCUCACACAGGAGCUGCUCUUAGGUUUGAUUUCACUCUAUGACUCUGAUUUAACUCCUCUGUUCUCACUAAAAACAUUAAAUCUGAUUUUAUUCUGUCUUCAGUCUCUCAUUUUGAUCGUAAUCCUGCGUCAGAAGAAAAGUGCGUGAUCGGUCACUGUUUAAAAAGUCGUUUAUUGUAGUUGUGGCAUUGUGUUUUGUUCCCUUUUUUAAGGUAAACAAUCAGCACAUGUCAAGAGGUAGAAAUCAUCAUCAUCAGUCAAAGAACUGUGGGGACUGAUUUUGGACUCGCACUCUCUCACUCUCUCUCUCUCAUGUUUUUGAGUUUGUAACGCUCACAUCCUCAGAAAUACUGUCGACGUACAGACUCCGCCUCCUCCUCCUCAUUUAGAGUUAAACAUGCUCAAGUCAGAAACAUCCACCCGCCUCCACCCUGUGCACAAAAAUAAAUAAACCGUAACAAACCGUAGUGCCUCGAAGACCCAGAACCAUCUUGAAAUAAAGGUCUGUUAUUUUUACCUCAAGACCGGGACUGCUGAUUGGCUGACUGCUGUAACCGUACAGAGGUUUACACACACCCACAACUGGGACCAUCAUCAUCAUCAUCAUCAUCAUCACGCCGUCUCAUGAUGCAAAAAUGGCCACCAGGAGGACUGUUGGCUGAGAUCCUGAUGAGUCUGUGUACCAACAGGCUCACAACAUAGAGAAGAAGAAGGGAGGGAGGGGCAGGAAAAAUCGCCUUUUUCACACCAACUCCUGAAAAUUUCCAGACAAUAAAAGGACGUUUAAGUCCUGACGUUACUCAGACUUUUUUAAGGUUGAGUAGGGAGGCGUGUCUGAACCAUCAGAGGAUAAAUCUGCAGCAGAAACAAGAGGAGAAGGUCAUGAGCGGUAAAGAGCGAAGGGUUAGGAGCUUCUCUGUAACCUGAAAAAUACGGUGAACAUGUCUGAAUAUUGAACUUCAGGACAGACGUAUUCACACACGGCUGAGAAGAAUUAAAAAAAACCUGCUCAGAAUCAUAUUCAAAGUUCUGCCUGUCCACACAGACUAACUGGGUAAAGUCUGGAAAUUUUCAGGAGUCGAGUAUAAAUGUGAAAAAAGGGCGUUACAGGGAUAUUCCGGCGUAAGAUUACUUAAGGGUCAAACACCGUAACACCGAGUUAGACCCCCCCUCCAGAGAUGAAUGUUGUCGACCGCUUGCUUCUCUAGUUAUACCAACUUUAGUAACGACCACAGGAUAGUAACACAUAGAGCCACGCCCCCAACCAAAACGCCACUCUAUAGCC